rnacentral:lncRNA from 1 species
UCAGCAUAGUCCGAAUUACAGAGUCCCUGGUAUGCUACAGAGCCUUCCAUGUAGUGGGAAUAUUAAAACACAGUACCAUUUAUCUGAGUAACAUUAAUAUUUAUUAACAUGACCAAACAUGGUUCAAAUAUUACCGGUAGUACAUGACCAAACUUGGUUCAAAUAAAUUCUUUUGUGAUUUGAGUAGGAUAACCAACAGCGGCCGAAAAAGUCUGGGUUCAAGUAUUCCAAACUCGUUCCAGACUACCUCUCUUAUUUACCCAGAACAACUCGCGCGUUUGCAGGCGACAGGACGGAGAGGAAGCAAAUGACUAUUCCUAUGAAGAAGGCAUUCUCGGACUCUUUCUCUGUAGGUACCCGUGAAGCAAUGAAAGAAGAGACAUUUUGUUACAGAAGAAGUCCGUGAUCCUGGCUGACCAGGAUGACCUAGCAAGAUAAGGUUGUUAAGUUGCCAGGAGCUACUGUGGAAAAGUAUUUUAGCGGGUGCUCAUAAAGCAGUGAAAAAGGAUGAGACUUUUGUGGUAAUGAAAAUUGAAGACCCUGCCUGACCAGGAUAAACCAAGAAGAUUGUAGAUAAAGUUCUUCCAUUCCAAGUGCUCACAUGCGAGGAGAAACCCUCAAUGAAAAGGAAGUAUUCCUGAGAAAGGAGAUAUCUACCAGUGUGCUACAAUGUAUAUCCGUCACGUCGUAGGAGUUUGCUCUGCACUGGCUACUGAGAUACAACAAUGUAAUUGCAGAAUGAUCAAGUACUGCUUGACUUAAGAACAACUCUUGUUUGCAACUGUUGUAAUUUGACCAGUAAUAAAGAAAAUUUAUAUUUCUGAAACUUUUCACUGUUCGUGUUUAUUUUGUUAAAUAUAAGAUUUAGUUGUGCAUAAAUCAGCAAAACUAAGGAUAAAAACUGACAUUUCGGUAUCUUCAUCACACCGUUAUCAAGGUAAUGAAGAAUAAUAAGUACAAAUUCUGCAAGUCAAUGAAGGUGUGAAAACGAAUUUGCAUAUAGAGUGUGAAGGAAAAUUAUACAAAUACUUUUGCAAAAAUUGAGUUACUUUGCAUGUUCAGAGUUUCAACUCUCUGAUGAAAAGCAUCUGGUGCCCCUCCCAAUCUGUAAGGGGAAAGCCCUGGGAACAAGGUUGAGAGGCAAAGGGAAACUGUUAAAGGGCCCUAGUUAGCCACACCUUUGUUUUUGUUUGCAUGCGAGCCUUUGGCUAUUAUAUUUUAUUCGGAGCAUGUCAAAAUGAAGGAAACCACUGCAAAACUGCAAAAGAUAUGAAAACAUACUUUAAGGAACACAACUUACAGUAAAGUUAUCAGAUUUCUCGUCACCAUGCAACAUCAAUUUCGAUGGCCUCGAAAAUGCUGGAGGCUGGCCUAUUUCGCCUGUAUUAUGCAGCACACCCAGCAUAUACACAGGACACCAACACAAAAUUAAGAUGCCUUCUCCCUUUGCUCAAAUGCCUAAGUGGUUCCAGUUGCUGAUAUUGCCUCGGUAAGAAUUUUAGUCCACCUACGGUGCGAUAACUUAUCCAAAAGCUUUGAGAAGCUUAUUCUCAUCUCUUCUUCUUUUAUUUAAAGCCAGCGACGCAUUGUUUCAAACAAAUGGAUCGCAUACUUGCCCAACUUGGAAGUUCGGACUAAACAGGUAGCCACAUGUACACGUUGUGUGCCUUUUGUUGGACCACAGUGAAAACAAAAUAAGUGAAAAUAAAUAUAUCGAAGGUUUUGUGUUCUAUAGAAUGGUUUGGGGAUUUUGUUUUGUUUUUUUUUUUCGGAAAAGUACACCCACCACCUAUAGAUUGAUCAGUACCCGGGGCGUUGUCUGCGAGGAGCGUAACAGCCAGAAACGUCCUGUAAACGGUCCACUUUUCUUCUGGCCCCAGUUGUUUAAAGGUUGGGUAACGCUAUCCACCGGAUAAAUCACUAUCCCGUGGAUAAGUGUUAACAAAACAAACAAUGCUAUCUGCUAUUUAGGGAUUUAUCCGAUGGAUAGCGUUACCCACCUCUCGAACAACCCAGGUUAGAAAAUCCCCACGUUCUACGUCAUUUUGUAGUCGGACACAGCAUUGUCAUUCAAAUGAACAAAUGGCAGAACUUUUGUGUCUUCGUAAAAGAUGAAGAACCUUUGGCGAUUCAGGUGAAAAGUUUUACAAUGAUAGAAAUGAAAAAAUUAAGAGAAUCUGGCGGGGAAAAUGCCGACGUACAUAAACAGGAAACUCUGCCAUUCCUAGUGGUCGGCACAUUAAACAAAUUUACUUGGGAUCUCCGUUUGGUAAACACCAAAGGCAGUAAACUAAUACCGUGGAUUGAAAUCAUGGUCAACAUGUUUGAAAAUAAUGAUAAUAAAAAUUUUAAUUGCAACCGUAACAGCACGAGAUGUUAAAUUCUCUGAAGCAGUUGAAACUACGAGAAAUAGCGACUGUUCGUGUAUAUAGAUACGCCACUUUUUCAUCGCUUUGUUUUGGUUUUGCAUUUACAUUAACGGAGGGAUAACAGAGCAAUUUGGCGCCAAACUGGUUGGGUUUGACAAUCAUUAUUCCCAAUUUCCGAACUAAUCUUGACUAACUAAUCUAUUCGCCUCUGUACAUAGCCUGUAAACUCUUCGACGCAUCCUUUAAAUAAUACAAGAAAAAACCAAUAGUAAACGAUCUUUUUAUCAAAGAUCUCAGCAUUAUCAUAUACAACUUGGAACAGGUGAAUCUUUAACUUAAGUUGUCCACCUGUUUUAAACUCUUUCACGGUGAGAUCCAGUACUAUCCCUUGCUAAAAACAAUGACAACCACAUCUCAGAAAUAAUUUAUGAACAAGAGCUUAGACUGAAAAGAGCAACGUUUUAUUUCAUCAAAGCAAUUACAAGUAAACCGCUAACAGGCGGACGACAGCGCGGCGACAUCAAAUGUAAACAUGUAAUGAAUGGAAAUGAAGCAAGCGUUCCUAAACCCUUUUUCAUAAUUUAUCAGUAUGACGCAUGUGUUUCAACAUGUUUUGGGAGUGUUAGUGGAGAAAACCUGGUAGUAUAACUUAGUUAAAUAACAGGUACUCUUGUUAAAAUUUAAUCAAGUCGUCGACAGCGUACUCUGUAAACUGUUGAUGACUGCAGUGUUUUCUAAGUUUCAACACGCUUGUUUGCAAAAUUUUUGAAAAUAUUAUUUACUAGCUAGUAAAACUGCCGGACAGUGAAGUGUUCAAAAGAAAUACUUGUGACGGAUUGUAAUGUACUUAUCUCAAAACGAGUGAAAAAGCAAGUUUUCAGUAUGGUUCAAUGGGCAUUUACCAAAGAGCAGGUCCCCGCGGUAAGCUAUUAAACCGCUCAUGUAAUGAGUGUUAAUUGCCUUGAAAAUUUGAAAAGGCAAAGUUUGCCAGUGUUGUAAUGUCAACGGCACCACAAACGUCAAAUAAGGACAGAUAAAGGCAGUCAUAAGGACACAUAAAGGCAGUCGCAAUUUCUUAAUUUACUUUUGCCUUGCCUCUCUACGUGUACUUAAAUAUUUUGCGUGUUUAAUUAUUGUUUACCGUUACCCAACGCGUUGGACAUGGUUGUUUUGAAAAACAUUUUAAUUGCGGUUUGUGGAGGCCAUUAAUGUUACCUGGGGCAUUAACACGACGACACGUAAACUUAAGGAGUAUACUGCGUUAACUGAAUGGGUCCAAAA